rnacentral:misc_RNA from 1 species
CGUUUACGGCUACGGAGAUCACGAACAAUGCGUUGAAGCUCGAAGCUAGUGACUUUUCUGCCCUCAUCCACCCAUUCAUCCAAAACUGGAAUUAUGAGAUCCGCAUGCCUCACAGGGCUAAUUCUGGAAAACAAAUUGUUACGCUUUGAAUUUGAAGAAUACACAGUAGCGCAAUAAGCACGAACUGGAAAAGCUCUUUGAAGAAGAUUGUAAGAAAUUGAUCUUCUCAAAAUUGCGAAGUUCAUUGAUG